UACAGAGGGUGCUAGCGUUAUUCGGAAUUACUGGGCGUAAAGGGCGCGUAGGCGGUCGUAUUAGUAAAAUGUGAAAUCCCCGAGCUUAACUUGGGAACUGCAUUUUAAACGGUGCGACUAGAGAUGGAAAGAGGGAGCUGGAAUUCCUAGUGUAGAGGUGAAAUUCGUAGAUAUUAGGAAGAACACCAGAGGCGAAGGCGAGCUCCUGGGUCCAUACUGACGCUGAGGCGCGAAAGCGUGGGGAGCAAACAGG
rnacentral:rRNA from 1 species